CAGCCUGACAGGAACAG
rnacentral:miRNA from 1 species